rnacentral:miRNA from 1 species
UGACUGGAAUUGCGUCUUUCGU